rnacentral:rRNA from 1 species
GCAGGGAAUCUUGCACAAUGGACGAAAGUCUGAUGCAGCGACGCCGCGUGGGGGAUGAAGGCCCUAGGGUCGUAAACCCCUUUCAGUAGGGACGAAAAUGACGGUACCUACAGAAGAAGGUCCGGCCAACUACGUGCCAGCAGCCGCGGUAAGACGUAGGGACCGAGCGUUGUCCGGAUUUAUUGGGCGUAAAGAGCUCGUAGGCGGUUGCGUAAGUCGGAUGUGAAAACUCGGGGCUCAACUCCGAGACGCCAUCCGAUACUGCGCUGACUUGAAUCCAGUAGGGGAGUGUGGAAUUCCUGGUGUAGCGGUGAAAUGCGCAGAUAUCAGGAGGAACACCUAUGGCGAAGGCAGCACUCUGGGCUGGUAUUGACGCUGAGGAGCGAAAGCAUGGGUAGCAAACAGG